ACACACACACAAUGAAAUAAACAUGAGAACUGUCAGCUCUGACGGCUCGCACUGAAGAGACAGAGAAAGUUCGGCCCGAGGACCUCGAGAUCCUGAAAGAUCAGCGGCAGGAGCCGCGCUGCGUGCAUACACUGUAAAAAGUUUCUGUAGAUUUACACCAAGAUUCCAACAUUAACCACGGGUUAUUUUGAAUAAACUGGGAUUUCGUGUUAUCGGUGAGAUGAAUGGGUUAAAUGACGGUCCAGCGCUGUUAAUUACCACGCCCAUAAUGUUUUUUUCCGAAAUACACGUUCUUCCUGUUAAUCCACGCUUGGGCGAAUCGGGGAGAGGUGGAGUGGAACAGAGUUUACCGCCAAAGAGAGUAACCCUACGAAGAUCUUUGUUCCCGCCUCCUGGAAACCUGCCUGCAGUUGGAAUGUGUCAAUUGGAGUGAGAAGGGGGACGAAGGCCAGUGGGAAGAGGAGGAGAAACUCCCCCUCCAAGGUUUCAUCCUUGCUGAGGAAGGUGAUGGAUUACCGCUACGCCCUGGUGUGAAAAUGGCUGAAUUGACCCAUCAACUAUCCAACAGGCUGAAUUGUCCUGACCAAUAGAAGAAAAAAUUGUUAAUUUCAGAGUGUAAUUGUUAAUUUCAGAGUGUAAGUGUAAAAUUUUAAGUUGAAAAUACACUGCAAAAGUUGAUUUUACUGUAGGAGUGUAAACAAAUAACAAAUAUGUAAGGGAAGAGUGUUGGUCUGAUGUAAUAUUUAUUUUGGUUUCCACUGCUUUAUAGUUUCUGUAAUCACAAUUAGGCUUUCAAUAAUUCGUUUUGUAUGUAAGGAAUCAAUAUAACAUGAGUUUUUUUAUUAUUGAAUCGAUGAAAUAUGAAAAUUAUAAUUUUCUAAUUAUAAUUUUAUUUGAAAUGUAAAGGAGGAUGAUCCUCCCUUUCCUCAAUGGAAGAGCCUCCAUGAAUUGGUAGUUGUUGAAAAUGACUUGAGUAAUUGUGAUUUUAAUGACAUAUGUAUGAAUUUAUAUCUUAAUAU